UGAGGAAUAUUGCACAAUGGGCGCAAGCCUGAUGCAGCAACGCCGCGUGAGGGACGACGGCCUUCGGGUUGUAAACCUCUUUUAGUAGGGAAGAAGCGAAAGUGACGGUACCUGCAGAAAAAGCACCGGCUAACUACGUG
rnacentral:rRNA from 1 species